GACGAACGCUGGCGGCGUGCUUAACACAUGCAAGUCGAACGGUAAGGCCCUUCGGGGUACACGAGUGGCGAACGGGUGAGUAACACGUGGGUGAUCUGCCUUGCACUUCGGGAUAAGCCUGGGAAACUGGGUCUAAUACCGGAUAGAACCACUGCCUGCAUGGGUGGUGGUGGAAAGCUUUUGCGGUGUGGGAUGGGCCCGCGGCCUAUCAGCUUGUUGGUGGGGUGAUGGCCUACCAAGGCGACGACGGGUAGCCGGCCUGAGAGGGUGACCGGCCACACUGGGACUGGGAUACGGCCCAGACUCCUACGGGAGGCAGCAGUGGGGAAUAUUGCACAAUGGGCGCAAGCCUGAUGCAGCGACGCCGCGUGAGGGAUGACGGCCUUCGGGUUGUAAACCUCUUUCAGCACCGACGAAGCGCAAGUGACGGUAGGUGCAGAAGAAGGACCGGCCAACUACGUGCCAGCCGCCGCCGUAA
rnacentral:rRNA from 1 species